GACCUCUGCAUGGAGCACCUCUUCCGUCUGCCUAGAGAUAGCGUUGAGAAACUCACAGCUUCACAAAACUCCCCGUUGCAGUGAUGGACACGUUCAAUAAUAUCCGGGAUGAAGAAGCUGGGAGGAGGCGCUGCUAAUAAUUGCGAAGGAUGUCAAGAAGGAAGAACUAAUGUGUUUAAACAUAUGGGCUGGGAUUCCUCUCACCUCACCAAUCAUGUAAAAAUUAGCACCCUGUUCUCCAAUUAGUCUCUGUACUGGGAGCGUGUGGAAGAAGGUAGCUGCGUCAUGGAGGUGACCAUCUGGGAGCCACAAGGCAUGGUCCAAGGGAGCACCAGUAGAUCUUGUGAGUGACCCAGACCCAAAGCCCAGCUCUGCCACACUUUGAGGGGGCUUUUGCAGGGUGAGAAGAGCUCUCCAAACCCCUGUGACAGGCAACCCACGGGCCCUAUAACCCAUCAUGGUCUCCAUAACCUCCAUAGUCCCCAGACCAGGAAGGUGCACAUGUCCAUGGCCACCUUUGCCACUGGUUCUGCAGCUGAAUUUU
rnacentral:lncRNA from 1 species